AUAGCUAUCUCAGGACCUGCAAAACUGGGAUUAAGGGAGUGGGAUGAGCUCUAGAGCCCAGUGAGGAGGAACAAUAAAACCAUUCAUUAAUUACAUGUUUUCAUGAAAUGCAUCACAUCACAAACAUAUCAUCUCACGGAUGAAUUUGUCACCAAUAGCCCUCAACUACAUGUUAUAAUAUGACCAACUUUGCCAAGGAGACUAUGUCAUCACCUGGUCUACUCUUAUCUCUGAUAUCAUAACAUGACCAACUGUGCCAAGG
rnacentral:lncRNA from 1 species